AGGUCAUUUCAAAAAGGGCCUGUGGGAACUUAAGUCACAGGAGCUCUUAAUGUUGUGACCUAAGAUUGAAAUUCUCCAUGGGAUGUAAUAGACACUCAAUAGUGCUGUUUCCUAAGGAAAUAUAAGA